UUAUGGCCGCUUCCGGUGUGUCAGAUACGUUUGUGAAAGAGGCGUCCGGUUUGGGAGUGGUAAAGGGCUGGAUUUUCAAUUUGUUGUUUCUCCAAGCAUCCUGUCAAGAGAGUGCAGGAUACCUAAAGCGUGCCAAGACUGACAGGCUUCGUGAUAUUUUCAACAAGUAUGCAACAAAGGAGAAGAAUGGUGAGAAAUACAUGACACCGGCCGACUUUGUGCAGAAAUAUCUUGGAUUAUACUCAGAUGCAAAUUUCAAUUCUGAUUCAGUGAAACUCCUGGCCGGUAUUGUUGACACCAGCAAGGAUGGACUCAUCUCAUUUCCUGAGUUCCAAGCCUUUGAGGGGCUGUUGUGUGUGCCUGAUGCCCUGUACAAGACAGCAUUCCAACUGUUUGACACAAAUGGAAAUGGAGUGGUACAUUUUGAUGAAUUCUCUGAGGUGAUGAAGAAAACGGUUUUGCACAACAAAAUUCCUUUUGAUAUGAAUGGAGGAUUUGUGAAGCUGUAUUUUGGCAAGGACAAGAAGCGAGCCAUCAGCUAUGGAGAAUUCAGCCAGUUUUUGCAUGACUUUCAUGAGGAGUAUGCAAUGGAAGCAUUCCGGAGGUAUGACCAGGUAGGCACAGGGUUCAUUUCUGCCCUGGAUUUCCAAGAUAUCAUGAUUAGUAUCAAGAGCCAUCUGCUGACGAAUGAAGUGAAAGCAAACUUGGUGGCAGCAGCAUCGGGGGGACAAGGGGGCAAAUGGGUCAGCUUCCCAUAUUUCAUGGCGUUCAAUUCCCUUCUGAACAACAUGGAACUCAUAAAGAGGAUCUACCUCAAUGCUACUAAUGGCAAUAGGAACCAGGAAGUCACAAAGGAGGAGUUUCUCCACUCCGCACAGAUGAUGUCUCAGAUCACACCACUGGAGGUAGACAUUCUAUUCCUCCUUUGUGACCUGCUUCAUCAAACAGGGAGAAUAGUGUACAACGAUCUCCAGGCUAUUGCACCUGAGCAGUAUUUUAAGCAGAUCACCAAACGACUGGCAGAGAUCAAGGCUGUUUCUAGUCCUGAAGAGCGAGGCCUCUUGAUUCAGAUCCUAGAGAGCGCGUACAGGUUCACACUUGGCUCCAUUGGUGGUGCUGUGGGUGCAACAGCAGUGUAUCCAAUCGACUUAGUUAAGACGAGAAUGCAGAACCAAAGGACAGGCUCCUUCAUUGGUGAGCUGAUGUACAGAAAUAGCUUUGACUGCUGUAAGAAAGUCAUCAGGCAUGAAGGCUUUUUUGGUUUGUAUAGAGGCCUUGUGCCGCAACUAAUGGGUGUGGCACCAGAAAAAGCUAUCAAGCUCACGGUAAAUGACUUCGUUCGAGAUAAAUUCAUGGACAAGAAUGGAAACUUGCCUUUGUAUGGUGAAAUCAUAUCAGGGGCUUGUGCUGGUGGUUCACAAGUUAUAUUUACGAAUCCAUUGGAGAUUGUUAAGAUUCGUCUCCAAGUAGCAGGUGAAAUUGCCAGUGGAACAAAGAUCAGUGCCCUCAAUGUUGUGAAGGAACUUGGCCUCUUUGGAAUGUACAAGGGAGCAAAAGCGUGUUUUCUUCGUGAUGUUCCCUUUAGUGCCAUCUACUUCCCAGCGUAUGCCCACACAAAAGUAAAAUUGGCAGAUGAGAAUGGCUACAACAGCCCGCUGACACUUCUGUUUGCUGGCGCCAUUGCUGGUGUUCCUGCAGCUUCACUUGUCACUCCUGCUGAUGUCAUCAAGACGCGACUACAGGUUGUAGCAAGAGCAGGGCAGACAACAUACACAGGAGUUCUUGAUGCUGCCAAGAAAAUAUACAAGGAGGAGGGGCUUCGAGCCUUCUGGAAGGGAGCAACAGCUCGAGUGUUUAGAUCAUCACCACAGUUUGGCGUGACCCUACUGACAUACGAAAUCCUUCAGAGGUUGUUCUUUAUUGACUUUGGAGGAACGCGCCCAUCUGGUUCUGAACUGAAUGUCCCAUCAACAGGUGUGGCUGAAGAGAUGAAAUCAACAAAUCCAGACCACAUUGGUGGCUAUCAAGUGGCGCUACCUAUUUUUGCUGGCAUCGAAUCAAAAUUUGGACUGUGUUUACCAAAAUUCCAGGUAGCAUCAUAAAGCAAGAAACAAAUGACAACUUGUGAGGUGACACCCAAAUACUGCCCAUCUAAAAAACAUUGGUUAAUGGAAAGUGGCAAACCAGUAAGCUCACACUCAGGAAGUUGUAUGCUCCACUGGUAAGUUACUGGAAAUCUAUUAAGACACAGUAUCUAGAAUUUAUAAACCAAAUGGAAUGAACAUGGCUAGAUACUUUAAUGAUACAUUCAGUAAAUAAGCAGUUAUUUUAAGGUUAAAAAUGACAAAGUGGCUUCUCACAUGAUAGAGUAACUUUGCAGAACCAGAGUACAGGCUGUGUAGUAUGGUGCUUUGAGGAUCUAGUGUUAUGGGAAUUCCUUGUAUCAUUGUCCAGUUUACUCAGGUGGCACAAAUAGACAUGAAAAAGUAUAAAGGCAAAGUAGUCUGAUAUUACAUUUUAUCGUAUUGUUUCAUUUUGUCAUUAAACAGGAGAAUGGAUAUUGUGUAGGUAGAAGAUUAUUGAAUUAAGUUGUGUUGAAGCUGAUAUUUAACAAACCAUGGCAAGAAGGCGGUGUCUACUUCUGUGCUUUUUACACAAGCCAUCAUGAUUUUAGGGAACUUAUUUUGCACUGCAUCAGGUUUGAAGGUUUGUAGUUAAUUUAUUUCUUAGUGGAUGUCAGAAGCUGACUACAACUGUCAUUCGGUUUAUUCAUGGGGAAUGUUGAUGUGAUCUGAAGCUUUGUGAUGGGGGAAUUCCCCAUUCCUAAUAGCAUUAAAGCACUUCUGGAGCUUCUCUGUUGUGUAUUUGUCUAAUGGGAAGCUCCGAGCUUACACCGCUAAAUAUGUGAGAAGAACUGUGAGGCUGAAGUGAAACUCUCAUUUAAUAUUCUUCAGUUUAAAAGUUCCCACAGUUAAUGUUCAAUUUCACUGAUUCUAGAUCAGUAAUCUCAAUGGUAAACUACCUCCAUUUAAGAUUUUCCAGGGGGUUAUAUUAAAAUCUACUGCUUCCAAAAGAAAUCUCAAAUUUGGGUUACUCUGCAAUUUGAUCCACUGUCUAGAGUAUGGAAGAGUAGCCCUGUACUUUUUAAAAACAUAACCGUAUACAGAAAUUCUAUUCAAAACGUGCAGAAUGGAUUAUAAGUUAAAAAAUAUACACUUUUUUUUUAACUCAGUGCUGAAGUUUACAUUGGAAACAAAAACAGAACAGCUCCAGAUUCAUACAACUUACCUCGUAUUACAGAUGUGAUGAAAAAAUCAUUAAUUCAUGGAACAUGUGCUGAUGUGAAUCAUAAAAUGGCAGGUCCAUUCAGGUCUGCUCUCACUGUUGGUAAGAUAUGCUGUCAGAUGAUGUCAAAGUAGUGCCUGUUAUAUACUAUGCUACUCGCCAGAGGUCUCUCAAACAUUUUUUUGUUCUGGAGCAAAGUAAACCAUACAGGAGCAAAGAAGCAAAGUCAUGUGGUGCUAUCGGUCAUAUCAUGUUUUAUUUAUGUGAAGAUUGAAAGGACAUUAAAAUCUGUGACAUCUUAAUUGUGUCAUAUGGUAUUGUUGUACUUGGUAACCAUUCAUUUCUCAUAGUAGCUUGUUAUGAUAUGGUGGUGAUCAUGCUUCUCAUCACACUUAACAGUUCAUGACAUGUUCAGCCUUGAAAUGACUUACAGAUUUGAUUUGGCUUCUCCAGUAAAUAGCAUUUGUUUUCCUAGUCAGUCUUAACUGACUGAUCAUGGUACCAAGUUUACAAUUUCUUGUCACAGAGGGGAACGUGCUGCUUCCAUAUUGAGGAUAGAAGAUGGAGGUGUCACAGUCCUCCAAGCUGUUGGUAAUGAUCUGCCAGAUUACAUGACAUCAUAUCCCAAAAGACAGAAUUCCUCAAGUUGAGAGAUGAACUACAAAGUAGAAGCAGAAAUCAUCGAUUAUUUUCAUCCGUUCAUCCUGCAAUUUGCAUGGAAACAGUGAACAAAGUGAUGCAAAUCACUAGUCAAGAUAACUUGUGAAUCACCUGAGAUUGAAACUGGAUCCUUCCAAUGGACAGUUCAUGCUGACCUAACACUGAAUGCUAUUAUGUAAAAUGAAGCUAAAAUUAUAAAAUCUGCGUUCUGAUAGAAAUUCUAAAUUCUGCUAGCAACAUUAAUAGAAAUAUCUGAUGUCUGCAUCUCUAAUCUAUCAGCAUUUAAUGUGGUAUGAUAUUUCAGUUUAUCAUCUAACAGACAAACCUUGCAAAGAAAAAGACGUGAACUGGACGUCACUGUCACUGUAGUACCACUUCUGUAACAUUCAGGAGAUCCAUGUUUCAAAUCUGCCCAGAGACCAGCCAUCCUUACUCCAGUUAUUCAUGGUUUCCCUCAGUCCUUACCAGGCAAAUGCUGUGAUAGUCCUCAGAUCAGUUCACGACCCCUUUCUUCCACAUCCAUUCCAAUUCACUAUUCACUAAUCAUCAUGGCAUAGGAAGCUAUGUAAUCUGAGCUAUAGAAAACAGUGUUAAAUAACCGUAAAUAAACAAGAUAUACAGUAGCCAAAAAAUGAGAUCAGUGUCAUUAUUAAGUUAUUAAUUUUCUGUGUUUAUCACAUGCCACUUUCUUUGUUUUUAUUGCAUAUUGGCAAAAUUUUUACAUGAUUCAUGGUACAAAAUAUUUACAAAAUAGUUAAACAUGAGGAAUAUAAAAGCUAGAAUAACAGUUAUGUUUUGUGGUAAUCCUAAAUUAAUACAUAAUAUAAAAUUAAAAGAAAUUGGGCAUUUAUGAGUUCAUGGGCUCUUACAUCUUACAUCAAAAGAUUACAUUUGUUUGCCAUAAAUUUCAUCUGUAAGCAUAAUAUGGAGACUGUUUCCAGAAUUUUUGAGAAGGUACAUGUACAAUUGGAGCAUUAAUGAUUGCAGGUAAAUUCCCAGUUGUGUCCAUUUUCCCAAAAGCUUUCUUGUGUCUUGAAUCAAAAUCCAUGAAGUAACAGUCAUUAAUGAACUGUCAUUCGUAAUUGCUGUAUGGAGGUCCAUGGCUGAUAGGUAGUUCCUUUUCUUAGUCUAUUUAGUGUCGGAGAAUUAAAAAAUUCACUCUUUUAUGAUUUAUGUGUGUUGAGUUCUUUAUCUCAGAGCAUGUCUGAUCUUAUUACACCUUGAAAACAAAAAUUAGCUUAGGUUGUAGUUAGGUACGUGCAAACUGUUUUCAGUUUCUUCUUUAUAUUCAGUUUAAGGCUGACAUUUGCAAGUGUGUUCUGAUUGUUACUGACUGCACUUAUACAUGAAAACAAUUAUGAUUUUUAUGAAGUGCAAUACUAUUGAAGCUUUUACUCUGAAAUGUAAUUUUACAUAAAACCCCAAACUGAGACUUGUGGAGGUUAAAUGUUAAAAUUCUAGUUGGUUACAUUUAAUAUUGGGUUUUAAAAUAAAAAACCUUCAUUGAUGUAAUUAACUGUAAUUAACAUUCUUAAGAAUGUGUAAUCUAUGUAAGUUAGUGAAUCAUAGGUAUUCUGUAUUUUAUACACUUCUUUUAUAUGAGAAGUUUGAAUUAAGAAAAUUUACUCCACUUACAGUAUGGACACGCUGGUAUGACUGUAUUUCUCUAAUAAUGAAACAUAUUUGAUAUGUGUUAUAUGAUGGCCAGACACUUGCAGAAUCUUAGUGAAUAGAAAUGAAAGUCAUGUUGAAUCGUUUAAUUUUGAAGGAAGUUGUUCUUGUAUAUUUACAGUCCAGCGUUCAAUGAAAUCUGGGUUUGGGGGGAGUACACCAGAAAUUGUAAAGAAAAUAAAACUUUGUUUGCAUCAUGUGGUAAAUGUGAGAAAUUUUUGUACAGCUUUGAGUUACACGUUGAUAACUAAUGGACCCUUGAAGUAAGGAAUGUGAAAUAUUAUACAAAGAUAAUUAGCAGCAUUCCUACGAACUAUAAGAAAUUUUAUUUAUAGGCCAAUAAUUACAUUACUAAUGCAGUAGUAGGUUCUUUCCAAAAAGAUACUGCUGCUGCUGUUACUAUACUACUACUACUACUACUACUACUAUUACUACUACCAUCACUAUUAUUGCUAUACUGCUACUGCUUACAACAAUGACAUGAAAAUAUUUACAGUUGCAGGCCAUAAAAUAUUUCUGACUCAAAUAAGAUUCAGUUCCAUAACCAUAUAUGCAUUAGCCCAGGACUCUUAACUGAUGACUAAAUUACAUUUUAUUGUUGAAUUAUAAACUUUA